GAUGAACGCUAGCGGCAGGCCUAAUACAUGCAAGUCAAGGGGCCAGUAAUGGCACCGGCGGACGGGUGCGUAACGCGUGGGAACGUACCCUUUGGUUCGGAAUAUUCUCGGGAAACUGAGAGCAAUACCGGAUAAGCCCUACGGGGGAAAGAUUUAUCGCCAAAGGAGCGGCCCGCGUCAGAUUAGGUAGUUGGUGGGGUAAAGGCUCACCAAGCCAACGAUCUGUAGCUGGUCUGAGAGGACGACCAGCCACACUGGAACUGAGACACGGUCCAGACUCCUACGGGAGGCAGCAGUGGGGAAUUUUGGACAAUGGACGCAAGUCUGAUCCAGCCAUUCCGCGUGCAGGAUGAAGGCCCUCGGGUUGUAAACUGCUUUUGUACGGAACGAAAAGGUCUCUCUUAAUACGAGGGGCUCAUGACGGUACCGUAAGAAUAAGCACCGGCUAACUACGUG
rnacentral:rRNA from 1 species